rnacentral:lncRNA from 1 species
AUUUAUUGCUGAGGAAUCCCCUUAGCAGUAGUGUCCGUCCCGAUGAUGAUCCUUAGGCUAGGUCCCUUAUGAUAGGUGUUUAGGGACGUAAAGUGAGGAUAACGGGAACGGGUAAUCGGGUUAUUGUUGAUCGAUGAAAUUAAUAAACUUAUUUAUUGUGGGUUGAAAACCCUAUGUGCUCACCAGGCUCCCAAGCCUGACCCACUCAGUUUUAUGUAUUACAGGUAGUGGCGCAUGAGCAUAGGUGUGAUGUUUUGGACGAGGGAUUACGGAUAUAGGCCUGUAGAUAUGAAAUAAUGUAGUAAGGCUUAUAUUGUACUGUUUAUGCUUUUGAUCUGUACGAACAUGACAUCCCGAGUCUUUUAAUGAAAUACAUUUCUAUGGAAAUGCUUUUGAUAAAUCUUUAUCAUAUUUUUGUUUUGGGACAAAUUCCGCAACACUUUCAUUUAAAAUGUAACUCUGAUUUUUAAACAAAGCAUAAACAAACCGGUCUUUUCUGGCCGUGAUUUUGGGGAUGUCACAGUUGGUAUCAGAGCAUUAGUUUAAGCGAACUAGGAAUUUGUAGGAUUUCUAGACUUAAACUUAGAAUGCUAAGCGAUGAUUGUGAGGUGUGAGCACUAGCUUAUUUUAGGAAUUGUGCCUAAAAUGCUUUUAUGUGCUAAAUGCUUUGUGCAUAAUAUGCUGUUAAUUGUUCGGAUCUAUGGUCUGUUGCCGACCGGAUCUGGAAACCUUAUGUGUUUAGGAUUCUAAACGUACGACUACGAUAUUAGAACUAGCAUGUAAACGUUUCGGAGUGAUAAGGACGAUUUAAAACGUCUAUCCUAAAUAAAGAUCUAAAUUCACCUUAUUCGGUGUAUAGAUCAAGAUGGCAAGGACCCGUAGCGGAAACGUGAACGCAAAUGGAGGUAGGAACCAACCCCCAGUGGUUCAGCAAAUACCUGUUGUUGAAGAAGUUGCACCUGAGCCAGUCACCAUGGCUGGAGUUCAAGCCAUGAUUCAGGCUAUGCUAGCUGAACAAAGGGAAGAAAUGAGACGGAUGCUCCACGAAAAUAGGGACGAACCUACCAUACAUGUUGAACCGACGGAGCCAGUUCCCGAGCCAUCUGAGGAAGGGAACUAUAGCCGCCAAGUGAGUCAAGUAGGGACUCAAGGUGAGCAAAAGGAUGGCCCAGAAGGGAGAAACAACAAGGAUGGGCGGAUGUACAAAAAUUUCUUGGGUGCGAAACCACCAAGUCUCUCAGGAAGCCCAAAGCCUGUUGAGAUUAUGGACUGGAUCUCCGAGAUGGAGAUGGUGUUUGAGAGCUGCGACUGCAGCGAGAAGCAGAAGACUGUCUUCGCUGUGAGACAAUUGAAAACUGGAGUCUUGAGCUGGUGGAAGCUAUUGGCAGAUACAAUGCCACGGGGAGAAGCUCUGAAAAUGUCAUGGGAUGAGUUCUUGGAACAACUGAAGGCGCAGUACUGUUCAGAGAUAGACCUGAUUGAUCUGAACAAUGAGUUCCAAAAUUUGAAGAAGGGGAGAAUGAGCAUCGAUGACUAUGCUGCUGCAUUUACGGAAAAGAUGAAGUUGUUUCCAUACCUAGUGCCAACCGAACUUUCCAAAAUUGAGAAAUUCGCAAACGGACUGCCGGCUGACUUUGGCCCAACAGUCAAGAUGGCAACCACUCUGAAAUCAGCUGUUCGAGCAGCUAAGAACGUGGAGACCCAACAAAAGGAAAGAGGUCUGGAGAGGGCUGAGGUUGGUGAGAAACGGAAGUUCAAUGGAUCCUCGAAGUCCAACAAGAAGAGUAGAUUCUCGAAGUCUGGUUCGAGGGGAGGAGGAUCAGAAGCGAAGUGGUGUGACAAGUGCAAGAAGAAGCACUCUGGGAAGUGUGACGGAGGGGUCACUUGUUACAAGUGCGGAAAGCCUGGGCACUACGCCAAUGAAUGCACCCUCAACCAGAAAGCCUGUUAUGGGUGCAAUGAAGAAGGGCACAUUUUGAAGGACUGCCCGAAGAAGAAGGAGACAGGAAGACCCAACAUACCACCGAAGCCGAAGGCGAGAGCCUUCCAGAUGACGCUCGAGGCUGCAAAGGAGGCAGCAGACGUCGCUUCAGGUACCUUUCUUGUAAAUGGUUUGCCUGCAAAUAUACUAUUUGAUUCCGGAGCCAACUACUCCUUUGUGUCGCAUAAAUUUGGUGGGAAAUUAGCAUUGCCUGUAGAAAAACUAGAUAAUGCCCUGAUUGUAGAAGUUGCCAGUGGCAAAUUCGUACCUGUUAGUAAUCGUAUUAGGAACAUCGUCAUUGACCUAAACGGAAACGAAUUCCACGAAGAGCUAUUACCCAUAGAGUUAAACGGUUUCGACAUCGUUUUGGGUAUGGAUUGGCUUAGCGCCAACGAUGCUGAGAUUCAAUGCCGAAAGAAGAUAGUAAAGGUAAACCCACCCGGAAAAGAAUCAUUUAUGGUGUAUGGGGACAAACGCAGAGUGAAUUCUGGAAUCAUCUCCCUGAUGAAAGCCAGGAAAUGUUUGUCCAAAGGAUGUGCAUCAUACUUGGCAUUCGUAAUCGAUGCCAAGAAGGAGAAGAAAGAGGUGCAGAAUAUACCGGUUGUGUGUGAUUAUCCGGAAGUCUUUCCCGAAGAUCUUCCCGGAUUACCACCUGAUAGGCAAGUGGAGUUUCGUAUAGACUUGUUACCAGGAACAACACCGAUAGCAAAGGCACCUUACCGAUUAGCACCGACGGAGAUGAAGGAGCUCAUGACGCAACUUCAGGAGCUGUUGGACAACGGUUUUAUUCGACCUAGUUCAUCACCCUGGGGAGCUCCGGUGUUAUUCGUGAAGAAGAAGGACGGAAGUAUGAGAAUGUGUAUAGACUACCGAGAGCUGAAUAAGGCAACGGUGAAGAACAAGUAUCCAUUGCCGAGGAUUGAUGACCUAUUCGAUCAGCUGCAAGGUUCGAGCUACUUCUCAAAGAUCGAUCUUAGGUCAGGAUAUCAUCAGCUAAAGGUGAGAAAGCAGGAUAUUGAGAAGACUGCAUUCAGAACGAGAUAUGGACACUACGAGUUCUUGGUUAUGUCAUUCGGGCUAACCAAUGCUCCCGCAGCAUUCAUGGAUUUGAUGAAUAGGGUUUGUAAACCAUUCCUCGAUAAAUCCGUGAUAGUGUUCAUCGACGACAUUCUCAUCUACUCGAAAAGCCAAGAGGAGCAUGGCAAGCAUCUACGGGAAGUAUUAGAAGUGUUGAAGAAGGAGAAGCUUUUUGCAAAGUUCUCCAAAUGCGACUUUUGGAUACGGGAAGUCCAAUUCUUGGGUCAUGUUGUUAACCAGGAGGGAAUAAUGGUUGACCCCGCAAAGAUCGAGGCUGUAAUGAAGUGGGAACGUCCAAAGAGUCCCACGGAGAUUCGAAGCUUUCUAGGAUUAGCCGGAUAUUAUCGACGAUUUAUCCAAGGCUUUUCUUCGAUAGCUGCUCCAUUAACAGCUUUGACUCAUAAAGGAGCUACGUAUACGUGGAGUGAGAAACACGAUGAGGCAUUCGAGAAGCUAAAGAAGAAGUUAUGUGAAGCACCGAUACUUUCUCUACCCGAUGGAGUCGAAGAUUUCGCGGUUUAUAGUGACGCUUCUGGAGUCGGGUUGGGUUGUGUUCUGACCCAAAGAGAAAAGGUGAUAGCAUACGCAUCUCGACAAUUGAAAGAGCACGAAAAGAACUACCCCACUCAUGAUCUGGAGUUGGCAGCGGUAGUUUUUGCCUUAAAGAUAUGGAGGCAUUACCUCUACGGCACGAAGUGCAAGCUCUUCACUGAUCAUAAGAGUCUCCAGUAUCUCUUUAAUCAGAAGGAGUUGAACAUGAGGCAACGACGCUGGCUAGAACUUCUCAAGGACUACGACUGUGAGAUACUUUACCACCCAGGUAAAGCAAAUAUUGUUGCUGAUGCUCUCAGUCGGAAAGUCAAUCUGGAAAGGAAAAGGCCAAGAGCGUUAAGAAUUGAAGUCGUCUCGACGAUUGUGGAAAGUAUCAGGAAAGCUCAAGAAGAAGCUUUAGAGAAAAAUGACCGAAAGGAAGAACGUUUGGGAAGAACGUUAGUGUUCGGUACAAACAGUCGAGGACUGAAGGUAUUCCAAGAUCGAAUUUGGGUACCUAAGACGGGAGGAAUAAGAGAUCUUCUGAUGGAAGAAGCACACAAGACCAUGUACUCGAUUCAUCCCGGUAGCACUAAAAUGUAUAGGGACCUAAAACCCUACUACUGGUGGCCGACGAUGAAGCUCGAUGUUGCGAAGUAUGUGGCCGAGUGCGUAACAUGUGCGAGGGUUAAGGCACAACAUCAGAAACCGUAUGGGAGUUUAGAACCUUUACCUGUACCCAUGGGUAAAUGGGAAGACAUCACCAUGGAUUUUGUGACUAAACUGCCCAGGACGAAGAACGGUCACGACAUGAUUUGGGUAGUCGUGGAUCGUUUCACCAAGAGUGCACACUUCAUAGCAGCCAACGAGAAGUGGUCUAUGGAUAAGCUCGCAAAUGCUUACGUGAAGGAAAUUGUAAGACUUCACGGUGUCCCUCUUACGAUUGUAUCAGAUCGUGAUAGUCGUUUCACGUCAAGGUUUUGGAGGAGUCUACAAGAGGAGUUAGGUACAAAGUUGUGUUUGAGUACUGCUUAUCAUCCGCAAACUGAUGGUCAGAGCGAAAGAACGAUUCAGACGCUGGAAGAUAUGCUGAGAGCAUGUACCCUCGAAUUCCAAGGGAAUUGGGACGAGCACUUACCUCUGGUAGAAUUUUCCUACAACAAUAGUUUUCACUCGAGCAUCAAGAUGGCUCCUUAUCAAGCCUUGUAUGGGCAGAAGUGUCGUACGCCGUCUUGUUGGCUUGAAGCCGGAGAGAAGCAGUUUAUGGGCCCCGAGAUAGUCCAUGAGACUGCUGAGAAGUUGAAGGUGAUUAGGGAAAGGAUGUUAGCAGCCCAGGAUCGUCAGAAGAGCUAUGCUGACAAGAAAAGACGACCGAUAACUUUCGAAGUUGGGGAUUCCGUUUUGCUUAAAGUCUCACCGUGGAAGGGACUUAUACGAUUUGGGAAACGAGGAAAGUUGAGUCCAAGGUUUAUUGGACCGUUCAAAGUUCUUCAGAAGAUAGGGAACCAAGCUUACAAGCUGGAAUUGCCCGAAGAACUCAAUGGUAUUCAUAACACCUUCCAUGUGUGUUAUUUGAGGAAAUUCACGGGAGAUGUUCCCGACAUAAUUCCAAUCUCAGAGUUAAGGAUGGAUGAAAAUAAAAGGUUGAUCGAAGAGCCUGAGGCAAUUGUUGACCGUAAGACUAAGAAGUUACGACGCAAGAUGGUCGACUUGGUGCUAGUCCGAUGGAAACAUUCGAAUGGGCCGAAUCUCACUUGGGAAACAGAGGAUGACAUGAUGAGUCGCUAUCCACAUCUGUUUGCUGAUGCAUGAUUCCGGGACGGAAUCAUCCUAAGGGGGAGAGAAUUGUAACGCCCGGGUUUCAGGGCUAAGCAUUUUUGUCAAUGUAAUAGUCUAGGUCAACUCUUGUAACUCUUUUUGAAGUAAUAAAGAUGAAAUAUUUGAGUAUUAUGUGAAUUAUAUGUGUUUAUUAUUUAAUUAUAAAUGUAUAAUUAAUAAAGAAUAAAAAUGAGCGUCAAAAUUAAAGUGUGAGAUAAUCCCGAUAUCUCUACAUAAAGUUGUAGAAUAUGUCUCAAGGUUUCCGUGCAUAUAAGGAACGCCGAAAUCCGAGUUAUAACGAAGAAGUUAUGACCCGUCGAAGUUUCACGACAGAACCGGCACGAUACCGGGAAGCGUGAAUAGUGAAUUUACGAUAGAGCGAGAUUUAGCCUUAGUGAUCUAAACGAAAGUCGUAGAAUAUGUUAAACUAAGAACAUCGAUAAAAAGAACGCCCAAAUCUGACUUCGUAUGAAGAAGUUAUGAGAUUUUAAACAGACCAAUCCUGUCCCGGCUUGUUAAAAAUAUAACUUUAAAAAUAAAGUCAAAAUUAGCCGACGGAGUCUAAACGAAAGUUGUAGAGUACGUCUUCACCUACGCGUGGAUAUAAAGAACGUCAAAAACGGAGUUCGUAUGAACGAGUUACAAAUUAUAAUAGCAUAUUUACGUAUUAAAAUAAAGUAUAAAUCAUGUAUACGUACACAUAUAUAUACAUAUGUAUAUAUCAUUAGAAAGGUAUCGACGAUGCGGUCAUUAUAAGACUAAUGUUGAGUUCUUUCGACAUUAGUUUAGUACAAAUAUCAUUAAAUCCAUUUAUAAUAGUAUUAUAGAGGGGUGUUUAGUUGUUUAUAUAACUAAAAGGUCAUUAAGUAAUUAUGGAGGGUAGUUUUUGAAAAUUCAAUUAGUAUAAAUAAGAGCCUUGGGCUCUCAUAUUUCUUGCACCAUUCUCUUGAUUCAAGAGUCUUUCUCUCCUUAUCCCCCGAGCAUUUCGGUCCCUCGUGAUUCGACUUCUCUUUCUGUAGCUUAGUAUAGUAAGGUGAGCGCUGAAGCGCUGCACGAAUCUUUCUUAGAAAGAUUCAGCGACGAAGUUCUGCCCCUGCAGAGCCCGACUCCUAGCUAAAACCCCCUUGUAAGUAAGUUAUGCUUACCUUAUUUUAAUAUAGCUUAUAUUUAAAAUUAGUAUUGUUAUUAUGAACUUAUAAUAAAUAUUUGAGCUAUUAUUAUAACUUAUAUAAGUGUCGUUAUAAAUUUUUUUUUAACUACUCGCGGUACGGGGAAUCUGGUUUAAAGGGCCGCAUAGGGUUGUUGGAUUUCAGAAGUGCUAUAUGCCAAAAUGGUCCUGCCCUCCGGUGUUUUAUGUCUGGCCCCUGUCUGUACAUAGUGGUUGGAAAAUAUUGUUUAACGCUUAUAUAAUAAUAAUAAUACUAAGACUAAUAGUUGGUCACGGUAAAUAUUAGACUAAAAUUUAGCGAUAAUAAUGCUAGGUUUCGUCGAAGGAAAAUAGAAUCGUUAGAAGCAAGCGCUGCCCGAUUUUGGAAUCAUCACCUUAACAAGUGAGUGCAUAGUUACUUUCAACUUACACAUAGAUAUGAAGUAUUUUAUAUAAAUUACGUGCUAUGUGUGCAUAUUAUCUGAAUACUUGCUAUCUAUGCUAGAUGAACGUUGUUAUACAUGUUUUCAAUGAUUUAAACUGUAUAUGUAUUUUAUAUCUACGAAAAUGUUGGGGUAAAACAUGGGUAGAUGCAAUAGGUGAUGUGUGAUAAAAUGAUGAGAGGCCUCGAUGUUGAUGUUGUUGAUUCUGUCAUCUAGCGGAGUAUGGAUGACGACCACGGACUCUUCUAGACAGUCCAGUGGAACACUAGCAGGCUCGCAACCUGUAGGUGUUUGUGAACGAUAUGUUCACCGGUGUACUCCAUCCCCCACAUGGUUGCCUUUAGGACAUUUAUUGCUGAGGAAUCCCCUUAGCAGUAGUGUCCGUCCCGAUGAUGAUCCUUAGGCUAGGUCCCUUAUGAUAGGUGUUUAGGGACGUAAAGUGAGGAUAACGGGAACGGGUAAUCGGGUUAUUGUUGAUCGAUGAAAUUAAUAAACUUAUUUAUUGUAGGUUGAAAACCCUAUGUGUGCUCACCAGGCUCCCAAGCCUGACCCACUCAGUUUUAUGUAUUACAAGUAGUGGCGCAUGAGCAUAGGUGUGCUGUUUUGGACGAGGG